GUUAACUUUGUAACAAUUUGUAUUGUAAAAAGCGCUAUACAAAUAAACUUGAAUUGAAUUUACUUUAACUUUAUAGAUGCAGGUUCCAAGGAUGACGACUGUGAGGGACACAUCUUGGAUGUGGGGAUCAGAAGAGGCUCCAGAAUCCUUGAGGUGUCCUUAUGGCGGGACCAGGCCUCGUCAAUGAUAAUUUUCACAUAUGUCACCUCCGAGCAAACGCCAAGGCUACUAAGUUAAACUCAACCAUCCACACAACCGUAGAGGUUCUGGAGCAAGGACCAGUGGUGGAAGAAAUGGUGGUGAUUGGCUUCUUGAAGCUAAUGUUGAGGUCUUGUUGCCAGCUGAGGACUUCAGUGAAUACACAGCACUUCCUGAACUGACUGAAGAGAGUCUAGAAGAUCUUCUGUGCAGCUUCCACUUCAUUUAGAAGGCCCAUUACCAAAAUGAGCUAGUUGCAUAUCUUCACCAUCUUGUGCACUUAGCAAGCAAACGCAUCGAGUACAGACACAUGUGCAGGAAAUCUGUUUCCCAGCUACAAAAAGUGAGGAUGAUGCUCAUCAAUUCCCAUUUUAAAUCUACAGCUGCUGUGUGAUCCUGAUCCUCUUGAUAUCUUCUUGUGGAAAGAUGAAGCUCUCUGUGUCUUACACAUUAGAGAUGACGUAGAGAUCACCAACAUUUAUAGUGACAAAGGUGCCUCGAGGAAGAGGGAGUUUUCAUUCA